AUACUCUUUGAAUUCUAGUUCUCUCCAGUCUCCCCUUUGAAGAUUUUCUCGUGUCAAAUCUGUAGCGACCUUUUUCCUUCUUGGAGCAUAACUAGGACCCUUCUUCACUGAAUAGACUUUCCACGUUUGUGAUACAAUCAGCUUUCUUGCUUUGAGAGCCUUCACGUCUUCAUCAUAAAUUUCCUUGCCAUCUUUUAUCUGCAGAAGUGAGUUUUUCACCUUAUCGUCA
rnacentral:misc_RNA from 1 species